ensembl:snRNA U6 U6 spliceosomal RNA
GUGCUCGUUUUGGCAGCACAUACACUAAAAUUAGAAUGAUACACAGAAGAUUAGCAUGGCCCCUGUGCAAGGAUGACACAAAUUCGUGAAGCGUUUCAUAUUUUU